UUUGCUUCUUGGCCUUUUGGCUAAGAUCAAGUGUAUUAUCUGAGUGGAUCUCUUUAUCCCAUAUAUCUCAGGUCUUUGCUCUGGAACACAGAAACAAGCUUAUCAGAAACUUUUAAGGCUUGUGACAUAUUAAGGUUUGUUUAAGCUGACAAUACUAAAGGAAGAUUAUAGUGUUGUUUCCAAAAUCAU